CCAGACUCCUACGGGAGGCAGCAGUGGGGGAUAUUGCACAAUGGGGGGAACCCUGAUGCAGCGACGCCGCGUGAAGGAAGAAGUAUCUCGGUAUGUAAACUUCUAUCAGCAGGGAAGAAAAUGACGGUACCUGACUAAGAAGUCCCGGCUAACUACGUGCCAGCAGCCGCGGUAAUACGUAGGGGGCAAGCGUUAUCCGGAUUUACUGGGUGUAAAGGGCGUGUAGCCGGGCUGACAAGUCAGAUGUGAAAUUCCGGGGCUCAACCCCGGACCUGCAUUUGAAACUGUUGGUCUUGAGUAUCGGAGAGGCAGGCGGAAUUCCUAGUGUAGCGGUGAAAUGCGUAGAUAUUAGGAGGAACACCAGUGGCGAAGGCGGUCUGCUGGACAGCAACUGACGCUGAGGCGCGAAAGCGUGGGGAGCAAACAGGAUUAGAUACCCUAGUA
rnacentral:rRNA from 1 species